UAGGCGGACGGGUGAGUAACGUGUAAAGAACUUACCAUAUAGACUGGGAUAACAAGAGGGAAACUUCUGAUAAUACUGGAUAAGUUAGAAGUAGCAUUACUAAGUAAUGAAAGGUAGCAAUACGCUAUAUGAGAGCUUUGCAUCCUAUUAGCUAGUUGGUGGGGUAAAAGCCUACCAAGGCGAUGAUAGGUAGCCGGCCUGAGAGGGUGGACGGCCACAAGGGGACUGAGAUACGGCCCUUACUCCUACGGGAGGCAGCAGAC
rnacentral:rRNA from 1 species